AUAUUAUUAAGUGGAGGAAGAGAAACCAAAAGUGAUUCCCCCAGUAGCGGCGAGCGAAAAGGGACCAGCCCAACGCUGAAUCCAGCGGUCCACGACCGACGGGAAAUGUAGCGUAUGGGAAAAGUCCGCAAGGCGAAUUGAAGACGACCCAAGUCUCCACGAACGGAGCACCGAAGCGGGUGGCAGUCCCGUACGGUCGUCUCUCACGUUCACCGCGGACUUUUCUCGGGAGUCGGGUUGCUUGAAAGUGCAGCCCAAAGUGGGUGGUAUGCUCCACCUAAGGCUAAAUAUUCCCGAGAGACCGAUAGCAAAUAAGUACCGUGAGGGAAAGUUGAAAAGAACUUUGAAGAGAGAGUUAAACAGUGCGUGAAACCGCUUAGAGGUAAACGGGUGGGCCCUCGAAGUCUGAAGGCGUUGUAAGUUUCAACUCCAGGGGAGCUCCUGGGGCGCCCUACUUUACAGUCAGUAAGAGGCCGCGACUGGUUGGUCGCGGAUCGGAAGGACCGAUGUUCAAAGCUAGACGGACCCUAAAAAGGCCCUUUGACAUAGGCAUAGCCGAUCCGCGUACCGACUCGGAACGAGAGAGAUCCUCGAACGGCGUUCUCACUCUAGGUUCCGCAAGGGACUUAUGGGGACUCAAUGGAUCGGCGGUCAGUAGAUCGGGUCCCACCCGACCCGUCUUG
rnacentral:rRNA from 1 species